GACGAAGGGGGCUAGCGUUGUUCGGAAUUACUGGGCGUAAAGCGCGUGUAGGCGGUUGCCAAAGUCGGGUGUGAAAGCCUUGAGCUUAACUCAAGAAAUGCACUCGAUACUUGGUGACUAGAGGACCGGAGAGGAUAGCGGAAUUCCCAGUGUAGUGGUGAAAUACGUAGAGAUUGGGAAGAACACCAGUGGCGAAGGCGGCUAUCUGGACGGUUUCUGACGCUAAGACGCGAAAGCGUGGGGAGCAAACAGG
rnacentral:rRNA from 1 species